UACAGAGGGGGCAAGCGUUGUUCGGAAUUACUGGGCGUAAAGGGCGCGUAGGUGGCCCGCUAAGUCGAACGUGAAAUCCCCGAGCUCAACUCGGGAACUGCGUCCGAUACUGGUGGGCUUGAAUCCGGGAGAGGGAUGCGGAAUUCCAGGUGUAGCGGUGAAAUGCGUAGAUAUCUGGAGGAACACCGAUGGCGAAGGCAGGUCUCUGGGCCACUACUGACGCUGAGAAGCGAAAGCAUGGGGAGCGAACAGG
rnacentral:rRNA from 1 species